GAAUUCCAUUUUUACGGUUUUUUCAUCACGAACAUUUCAGUGUGUUUCUUAGAAAAGAGCACGCAGUUUCUUUAUGGAAUCGUGUGGUCCUGGCACGGAGAUUCUUGUGCCAAUGCUGACCUUGGUCCAUGACGGAAGAGGAACUUCCACCAACGUCCUCGUGACGUCUCCAUCUUCGUGACGCACGCUCAUCUAGCUUCACUGCUUCUAAACACAAUUUGUUUUACUUCACUGGCGACUUGGCGAGUUUCUGGACCACUUCAGUGAUCGCUUCCGUCCGCUGUUACACACCUGCAGUCACUCGCCACGGGAUUUUUCCCAGGUAAUGCAGAGGAGACGUCGAGAAGAUGGAUUUUCACAUCUUUAACAGUCAUCACCGGUCUCCGUCGGAUGUUGCCCGAAUGCGCCAACUAAAUACUUCUGGCAAUGGAAAUGGACAAUCACGGCCGGCACCGAGACUCGUCAUCAACGUGGAUCAUCGUAUUGUUUGUAUUAUUGCUUUUGUGUUAGUAAACCCAUUGGCUGCCACACCUUUGUUCUCCCCUGCACGGGCCGCGCUGUUCGGUCUCGUGGUUUAAAAGCCGCGGGGUCGGAGAGUCGCCA